rnacentral:rRNA from 1 species
GACAAACGCUGGCGGCGUGCCUAAUACAUGCAAGUCGAACGACGAAAGCCUUCGGGCAAGUAAGAGUGGCGCACGGGCGAGGAACACGUAGAUAAUCUGCCCUUCAGUGGGGAAUAACUCUCCGAAAGGAGUGCUAAUACCGCAUAAGACCACAAGCUCUGCGGAGCAAGGGGUUAAAGGAUUUAUUCGCUGAAGGAUGAGUCUGCGUCCGAUUAGCUAGUUGGUGAGGUAAUGGCUUACCAAGGCAAUGAUCGGUAGAUGGUCUGAGAGGAUGAUCAUCCGCACUGGAACUGAGACACGGUCCAGACUCCUACGGGAGGCAGCAGUAGGGAAUAUUGCACAAUGGGGGAAACCCUGAUGCAGCAACGCCGCGUGAGUGAUGAAGGCUCUAGGGUCGUAAAGCUCUGUCGCAUGGGAAGAAAGAAAUGACGGUACCAUACAAGAAAGGACUGGCCAACUUCGUGCCAGCCGCCGCGGUAA